GUUAUAAAAAUAGAGGGGGGGGGACAUACUUUUUACGACUUUGAGAGCUGAUAUCUCAAAAACCGUUCACUUUAAGAAAAAUGUUUUUUAGAAAACUUUAUAUCAUUUUAAAAGACCUUUCCAUUGAUACCCCACACGGGUAUGUACAUCGAAAAAAAAAAAUUCAUCCCUCAGUUACAUGUAUGGGGGGCCCCACCCCCAAUUCUUUUUUUUACUAUUUAGUGUCAUAUUUUUGUAGCGGUUCAUACAACACAUAUUCCCAUCAAAUUUCAUCACUGUAGUACUUAUAGUUUCCGAGUAAAUCGGCUGUGACAGACGGACAGACGGACAGACGGACAGACGGACAGACGGACAUGACGAAACUAUAAGGGUUCCGUUUUUGCCAUUUUGGCUACGGAACCCUAAAAAAACACAUAGAAAAAAUCAAUAAUUGACUUUGUAAAAUAUAAAAGUAAUUAACUCAUUGGGAUUGCCUGCCUAAUCGUUGAGCAAAUAUUUAUAAAUUAAUAUUUAGGACAAUAGAUUUCGUUAUGGAUGACACAUGUAAACAUUUUUUUAAAUCAUCUGUGAUAAUUUUUAAACAAAAAUCUCAAUGCAGUUAGUCAUCACAAGUCUUGUAAGUUCUACUUACAAAUGACAAUCCCAUUCAAAAAGCAAUUUGUUCAUAAGAAAGAAUUUAAACACUUGACUAAAUAAGUGUCCAACAUAACAAUACAGAGUAAUUGUGACUGUUUGUUACAAUAUUGCUUGCCUUGAAAAAUAUAUCUUGGCUCGUUAAAUAAGUCAAUUUCCAUUUUGCAUUAUAUUUUCACAGUAGUUAUCUUGGACUGUUGACAACCCAGCCUUCUCACCCAGUCAAGGAGAAUCAUACUUUGUUUGACAUUGAACUACUGGCCAUUUGAUAAGACGAGUCUCAAUGUGUGAGAUGGAAUAUAAUAGCAUAGAUGUAGUGAACAAAUACGCAUCAAUUUAUCUAUCUUCUUUAACUUAGCAUAGGCAAUAUGUUUUUGUUAAUAUUGUCUUGUGAAAAAGGAUAAACAUAGUUAUUUCUGAGAUCUCUCCAUAUACCUAUUAAAAUUAUGUUAAUUUAUAUACCUAUCACGAUAAUUCAUAGGCUAUUACGUUUAUUUUUUAAUCAUAAGAUACCCAUGAGGUAUGUAUCUACUUGUUUUUUAUUUCUAUCUAAUUACAUAGAUAUAUUAUUCUAAUUAUUUAUCUAUAUUGUUGUGACUAGUUUUUAAGAUUUUGUUCCAGUGCCAUGUGACAUCAUAUAAACUGCUUGAUUGUAUUAUAAUCUUCCAUCACAAAUUAAAUAGUUUAAAAAUACGUUUCAAUUUGACAUUUACUUAAUUUGGCACAUAUCAGGUAAAACAACCCUGAAAAUGUGCAAAUUAAUAAAUACAUUGUUUCUUCUUUGCCUUGAAUAAUAUAGUACUAUAAACGUCAACAAUAUAUUAAAGCUUCAAAGUUUUUAUAUGUAUACAUUUUUAUAAGUAGUUAUAUACCUACUUAUUGAUGCUUAAUGCUAUUGUGUACUAUGUAAGGAUAUACAAGUAAUGUUUAAAGAUUGGGGUUUGUCCGACAUGAACAUAACUUGAAAAGCUCAGAAUUCUAAUAUGCAGUCUAUUUGAUUUCAAAGAUAUGUUUCUUGUUUCUCGAAAUACAUUUUCGAAUUCUCGACCAGUCCUAGUGUACCUUGGUUUUCAAGUCAUGUCCAUGUUAUUGCUUACAUAUGAAGUCGCACAUAGAGUCCAAUCUCUAGUAAGUAUCGAUUGAGUCAAAGUGUUUUACUUUAAGUAAAUUGUAUAGGAUAUAUUUAUACUUAUGUUCAUAUAGACCUAUAUUUAAAUAUUAGAUACUUACCAAUUCAGUCCAAAAACCAUGUGCCCCUACUCUCCCCUACCAGUGCCAGAUCUCAAAGGAACAAACAAGUGUUUAUGAUAUAAGGCACUUUAUUUUUUACAUGUUAAUAAAAAUGAAUCUUUUAAAGGACUCUGAAUAUUGAUCGUAUACCUAUUUUAAUUUUGAAAGAAUAUUUAACAAUAAUUUUGUAUGAGUAAUGCGGACAAAAAUUGCAGAAAACUGCAAAGCCUUUCUUAUAAAGAUAUUUUGUAAAUGAGCGUCAAGUUGCCUUUUUAUACAAGGUUUUUGGCAAGGAGAUGUAGCUAACCUCUUAAAUGAGUGUUUGUAUCUCGCGGUUCCAAGCCAUUACGGAGCGCGAAUGGUUCCAGCGAUUUCAGUCUAUUUAUUGCCUGAGAUUGAAUUGAUGGAAUCGUGUAAUUCUUGUUACUUAAUCUUCCGAUUUAGUAAUUGUGUAAUUUAUUUUUGUAAGUAAGUAAUUGUUUUAUCUCAAUCCAAUUAGCAGAUUAUAUUUAGUUUUCUUUAUGAAAAGCGUCCUUAAACAAAAUUUGGCAGCAAACGAGCAAAACUGGAAUAAAUCUUGGACCACGCGUAUAAUAGCUUGGGGCCGCACUUAAGGACGCCGGAUUUUUACAGCUUCAAUUUAUUAUGACGCAUCAAAUAUUUCUGUUUUUGUGAAUUUGCGGUGCCUAAGCGUAAGACUGAUUAGUAUUACAAUUAGUAUUUAUUUUCCAAAUGUGCCUGAAUGUUAAAGCAAGACAGAUUAUUUCCAAAAACUAUAGUUCCAAUAUCUUUUUGGUAUUCUUAAUAAUCUUGAGCUUCUUAUUUGACAAGCUGGCGAAAAUUACACCAAGGGUCUACUUUAGGGCCAACGCCUACGAGAAGUCACAGCUUCAACUUUUAAGUAUACAUUUUGUAAACUUUUUUU
rnacentral:lncRNA from 1 species